GAUCAGCUCGGUACUCGCGAAUGCUCUAGAUUAGAGUUUGAUCAUGGCUCACCAUUGAACGCUNGGCGUGCANGGCUUAACACAUGCAAGUCGAGCGGGGAGGGUAGCUUGCUACCUAACCUAGCGGCGGACGGGUGAGUAAUGCUUAGGAAUCUGCCAUUUAGUGGGGGACAACAUUCCUGAAAGGAAUGCUAAUACCGCAUACGUCCUACGGGAGAAAGCAGGGGAUCUUCGGACCUUGCGCUAAAUGAUGAGCCUAAGUCGGAUUAGCUAGUUGGUGGGGUAAAGGCCUACCAAGGCGACGAUCUGUAGCGGGUCUGAGAGGAUGAUCCGCCACACUGGGACUGAGACACGGCCCAGACUCCUACGGGAGGCAGCAGUGGGGAAUAUUGGACAAUGGGCGGAAGCCUGAUCCAGCCAUGCCGCGUGUGUGAAGAAGGCCUUUUGGUUGUAAAGCACUUUAAGCGAGGAGGAGGCUCUCCUAGUUAAUACCUAGGAUGAGUGGACGUUACUCGCAGAAUAAGCACCGGCUAACUCUGUGCCAGCAGCCGCGGUAAUACACGAGGGUGCGAGCGUUAAUCGGAUUUACUGGGCGUAAAGCGUGCGUAAGGCGGCUUUUAACGUCGGAUGUGAAUCCCCCGAGCUUAACUUGGGGAAUUGNUUCGGAUACUGGGAGCUAGAAGUAUUGGGAGCAGGAUGGGUGACUUCCACGGUGGUNGCCGUAAGCGUAGAUCUGGGGGAUNCCCUGGGAGGNGGGCACCUUGGNCUAAUAUGCGUUAGGUUCAAGCUGGGGCGUUCUUUCNUUUCUCCUUCUCUCGUU
rnacentral:rRNA from 1 species